AUAAAACCAUUAUCGAAAGAAAUGAAAUAUCAAAUGGCGACAUGUUGUAAACACUACUCCUGGAAUAGUGCCUUCAUUCUGGUCGCCCUGUUGGUAUUAACGGCAAACAUGACGGCCGUUCACGCCAGAGCUUUGCAGUCGCAAGUAGUAGUUCUAGAUCAGGGAAGUAGAGAUGAUGAGCGAUCUGGCGGCGCCGCUAUAGCUUCAAUAUUGGUCGCCUCUUCAAGCAACGGCGGCAAUUAUGGCGCCGGCGAUGGUUCUUCAUCAGUUUGGCUACGAGGAUUGAUGUAUAAGUUGGCUUCCGGACCUAGCAAAAGAGGCCGUGGCCAUUAAUUCAAAUUCCUUCUCACUUUCUGUAAUAUUAUUAUUUAUUUUCCUUUUUUCUUUCUUCUUGUUAAAAUCCUCGAUGAUGAAGAUUAUAUACUUGUUGGUAUACAUGUAGUGAGUUUAAUUUCUAGCAACAGACAGUUUUUGUGAUACAGCAAUUAAUUAAUGAAUUCUUAGUGACACAUUCUUAAUUAUUGACAACUUACAUUUUCGUCCCAAACCUGUAGUUUUAGAGUUUAGAUUGCAGCGUAGCGCAGCGAUUACAAGAGCAUCCCAUUUCUUAAUUUUUCACUAAUAGUGAUUAAUUAUUGUAUACCCUCAGUACCGGGAUAGCAUGAUAUAUAAUAAUUUUGGACAAAUAUUGUUGAUAAUUUUUCAAAACUUCAC
rnacentral:lncRNA from 1 species